rnacentral:tRNA from 1 species
AUCUUCUUAGUAUAACUAAUACUAGUGAUUUCCAAUCACUAAAUCUCAAUUUGAGUUUGAGAGAAGAUA